rnacentral:rRNA from 1 species
GUGGGGAAUAUUGGACAAUGGGCGCAAGCCUGAUCCAGCAAUGCCGCGUGGGUGAAGAAGGUCUUCGGAUCAUAAAGCCCUUUCGACAGGGACGAUGAUGACGGUACCUGUAGAAGAAGCCCCGGCUAACUUCGUGCCAGCAGCCGCGGUAAUACGAAGGGGGCUAGCGUUACUCGGAAUUACUGGCCGUAAAGGGCGCGUAGGCGGCUCUGUUAGUCAGGCGUGAAAUUCCUGGGCUUAACCUGGGGACUGCGCUUGAUAAGGCAGGGCUUGAGGCCGAGAGAGGGUGGUGGAAUUCCCAGUGUAGAGGUGAAAUUCGUAGAUAUUGGGAAGAACACCGGUGGCGAAGGCGACCACCUGGCUCGGUUCUGACGCUGAGGCGCGACAGCGUGGGGAGCAAACAGGAUUAGAUACCCGUGUAGUCC